GACCAGACUCCUACGGAGGCAGCAGUGGGGAAUAUUGCACAAUGGGGGGAACCCUGAUGCAGCGACGCCGCGUGGGUGAAGGAGCACCUCGGUGCGUAAAGCCCUAUCGGCAGGGAAGAAACAGACGGUACCUGACUAAGAAGCCCCGGCUAACUACGUGCCAGCAGCCGCGGGAAUACGUAGGGGGCAAGCGUUAUCCGGAUUCACUGGGUGUAAAGGGAGCGUAGACGGCGACGCAAGUCUGGAGUGAAAGCCCGGGGCCCAACCCCGGGACUGCUCUGGAAACUGCGUCGCUGGAGUACGGGAGGGGCAGGCGGAAUUCCUGGUGUAGCGGUGAAAUGCGUAGAUAUCAGGAGGAACACCGGUGGCGAAGGCGGCCUGCUGGACGGUAACUGACGCUGAGGCUCGAAAGCGUGGGGAGCGAACAGGAUUAGAUACCCUAGUAGUA
rnacentral:rRNA from 1 species